CGGCAGCGGGGGAGAAGCUUGCUCUCCUGCCGGCGAGUGGCGGACGGGUGAGUAAUGUCUGGGGAUCUGCCCGAUGGAGGGGGAUAACCACUGGAAACGGUGGCUAAUACCGCAUGAAGUCGCAAGACCAAAGUGGGGGACCUUCGGGCCUCACGCCAUAGGAUGAACCCAGAUGGGAUUAGCUGGUAGGUGGGGUAAAGGCCCACCUAGGCGACGAUCCCUAGCUGGUCUGAGAGGAUGACCAGCCACACUGGAACUGAGACACGGUCCAGACUCCUACGGGAGGCAGCAGUGGGGAAUAUUGCACAAUGGGGGGAACCCUGAUGCAGCCAUGCCGCGUGUAUGAAGAAGGCCUUAGGGUUGUAAAGUACUUUCAGUCAGGAGGAAGGGUGAGCAGUGAAUAGCUGUUUGCAUUGACGUUACUGACAGAAGAAGCACCGGCUAACUCCGUGCCAGCAGCCGCGGUAAUACGGAGGGUGCAAGCGUUAAUCGGAAUUACUGGGCGUAAAGCGCACGCAGGCGGUCUGUUAAGUCAGAUGUGAAAUCCCCGGGCUUAACCCGGGAACUGCAUUUGAAACUGGCAGGCUGGAGUCUCGUAGAGGGGGGUAGAAUUCCAGGUGUAGCGGUGAAAUGCGUAGAGAUCUGGAGGAAUACCGGUGGCGAAGGCGGCCCCCUGGACGAAGACUGACGCUCAGGUGCG
rnacentral:rRNA from 1 species